UUUCACUUCAUGACUUACACCUUCCGCUCCCUUAAUGGUGUGCCUGUAAGAACCCUCCUUUACCUGGUGCUUCCUGUUUUGCUUCAUUUGCACUCCGCUGUGGCAUAUCGGAGCUGGUGAUUUAGAGUCAUUCAGUAUCAACUGAACUCCAGACCGAACUCAUACUCAUGUUAAGUGUACAGCUGUCUGAGCAGGGUUGAUGCACCGGUGAGUUGUUUGUCCAAUUGGCUUUUGCAGUCAGUGUAAAUGUGGGCCUCACUGUUGUUUGCUUAACACUGCAGCAGACCACCCAUCACCCAGUAUUCAGACACUCAUGCUGUAAUUAGACAGGUCUACUCAGUGUGGUGCGAUCCAGGAUGGCCAGCCACCCAUACCCACUGUGAUGUGGUAGGACCUCUGAUGUGACAAUUGUACAUCAUCUUGAGUCUAUAGAGCACCGGACAUCACGUGACUCUCAGAGAGUAGAUGCCAUGUUGGCAGGCAACAAAGAAGCUGUCGGAGCGGACUUCUUACUGGACCUGGCCAGGGAAAGCCUUGGGAUUCCCCCGGAGGAGCUGGCCCAAGUGGCUGGGGAGAGGGAAGUCUGGGCCUCUCGACUUAGGCUACUGCCCCCACAACUCGACUCCAGAUAAGUGGAUGAAAAUGGAUGGAUCGAUGGACAAAUAACACAGAUUUACAUGUAAGUAGUUUAAAUAGAGUGUUGUGCUGUUUGAUUGUAUAAACUGAACGCCAAGAGAAAUCACUAGUCUGAUUUUUUCCGUGAGUAAAAUAAAUAUGUCAGGCAGGAGCGUCUCAGGAUCUGUCUGAGAUCUGACUCAGUGAGAUAGAUAAUAGCAAUCCAAAGUGCUUUUUACGUGUGAUCUGACAAUUGAUCAACCAUUGCUUAAAAAUUAAAUACUGCUUAGCCUGUUAAUUGCUGUGAUCAUAAAACACGUAAACAGCAGCACGCAGAAAUCAUGAGGCAACGUUUUACGUGACGUUUACUUGUUGCUAUGAGUAAUAAGACAGAAAAAGCCAUGCCAAAAUAAGUUUAGGAAGCCCACUAAGAAUUGUAAUAAAAGCAUUUAAAAUAAAUACCAUAUACAGUUGAGGAAACGUUGGUUUAAGUACCUGAUAUGAAGUGGUCGCUGCAUAAGUGAAAACCUUUACUCUUGGCAUCCCACAGUUUCAUUUUAGCCCGGUGUUAUGGGCUUUGAGUAAUUGUUUUCUCUGUUACCGGGGACUUCACACAACUUUGGGUCCUUGGAGGAGAAGUGGGGGCGUGAGCUCCUGCUGCAACGAGGUGCAGGGUUGCCGGGACAACGGGGGAGGAUCCCCGCAACAAGGACAGACAGCGGCAAUAUCGAGGGGAGGAAUCUCCAGGACGCGGAUCAGGGAUCACACCUGCAGCAAAUGAACUGAUUGCUCGCCUCACCUCUUCAAACAGGAUUUAAGCAGGUCAUGGACGCUCCGACGAGGAGCGACUCUUUAACCUUGAGCUCGUCUCCGCAGCUGCUUCAUUGUGCACAUUUACUGUUUGGCAAAUUCACUAGCGCGUUUUACUGCAAUGAUCCAACAUUUGCGGCGUUCCAGAUCUUGGGAAUUCUGUAGAUGGCUCUUGUCCGUGUCUGUUCUGCAUCCUGGGGCACAACAGGAAUCUACCAUAUUUCCUGUUUGAUUGAGUUUUCUGACAAUAACAAAUAGUCCAGCUGCGGGCUUCUGCCUGCCAAUGUGGCACCGUUUUGAUUUGAACUGUUGCAUGCCCGGAGAAGUGACGUCAACUCCCGGAGCUCUACUAUAUGGUCUCACCUUUGGAUAAAGAGAGAUAAAGACUGCUGGUUGGACUGUCAAAGGAGAUCUCUUCUAAAACAAAUCGUGGACUCUGGAAAUCACGGGAUUUACUUUGUGUUACCUUUUUCCAUUAAUCAUACGGGGUGUUGUGUUUUGUAAUUUCUGUCAUAGUAUCAUAAGAAUAUAAAAUAUAAAAAUAUAAUAUAUAAAUAAAUAUAAAGGCAAUACUUUACAUGAUUAUUAUUAUAUCCUGUUUUUGUUAGUAAAUACGU